CAAUAGCGUAUAUUAAAGUUGUUGCAGUUAAAAAGCUCGUAGUUGGAUUUGUGGCGUACGGUGUGUUCCGGGCACUUGUUGUCUGAAUAACCUGCUGUUGCCAUCCUUGGGUGGAACCUGUGUGGCAUUAGGUUGUCGUGCAGGGGAUGCCCAUCAUUUACUGUGAAAAAAUUAGAGUGUUCAAAGCAGGCUUAUGCCGUUGAAUAUAUUAGCAUGGAAUAAUGAGAUAGGACUUUUUUGCUAUUUUGUUGGUUUGCGCAAAGAGGUAAUGAUUAAUAGGGACAGUUGGGGGUAUUCGUAUUCCAUUGUCAGAGGUGAAAUUCUUGGAUUUUUGGAAGACGAACUACUGCGAAAGCAUUUACCAAGGAUGUUUUCAUUAA
rnacentral:rRNA from 1 species